GACGAACGCUGGCGGCGCGCCUAACACAUGCAAGUCGAGCGAUGAAAGUUGUUCAGAUCCUUCGGGUGACGAACUUCUGGAUUAGCGGCGAACGGGUGAGUAACGCGUGAGGAACCUGCCUCUCACAACGGGAUAGCCUCGGGAAACCGGGAUUAAUACCGUAUGACACUAUCAGAUGGCAUCAUCAGGUAGUUAAAGUGCUAGCGGUGAGAGAUGGCCUCGCGUCUGAUUAGUUAGUUGGUGGGGUAACGGCCUACCAAGACGACGAUCAGUAACCGGCCUGAGAGGGUGAACGGUCACAUUGGAACUGAGACACGGUCCAAACUCCUACGGGAGGCAGCAGUGGGGAAUCUUGCACAAUGGGGGAAACCCUGAUGCAGCGACGCCGCGUGAGCGAUGAAGGUUUUCGAAUCGUAAAGCUCUGUCCUAUGGGAAGAUAAUGACGGUACCAUAGGAGGAAGCCCCGGCUAACUACGUGCCAGCCGCCGCGGUAA
rnacentral:rRNA from 2 species